UGGCCAGUGAAUAUUUGCGGCGACGGCCACUCCCUCUAAGGCAGACCACGUAGAGGAGCAUGGAGGCCAGAACGAGGCAGAGGCCACCCAGGGCCGCAAUGAUCAACACGUAGAGGAGGCGAACGUCCGGACUCAGGCUGCGGCUCCAGGAACGCCUGGGCUUCCUCGAUGAUGUGCAUACCCAGGCCCAAGACUACGGCUUUGUGGAUCCAGCCGUCAACUGAGAGAGUUUGGGAGAGGGAGCGAAGUCAAGGCCCCGCCUCCUCCCCCCAGGGGCUCGGGAGGACGCUGUCACCCCCGCGCUCGCACCUGUCCCCAGGAAGAGCACGUCGUAAGUCGGACCAGCAGGCACCGUGACGGGGGUCCCCACCAGCCGAGUGUAGCGAGCGUUGCGCUUGAGCAGGAGGGGCCGCCCUCGGGCCGGCCCCACGCCCCGGGCCAUGAGCGGGUGCAGCUUCACAAAGUCCAGGACCGGGGAGGGCAGGUCCUGGGAGGAGUUGUAGCCCCGCCUUCGAAGGCCGUCCGUGAUGCACUGUGGGACAGGAAGCUGAGGUGAGGGUCUCCCCUUCUGCUAGACACCCGGGCCUCGCACAGAUGAGGAAACUGAGGCCGAGAGAAGGAACGCCUUGCUCAGUUUACAGACAUAAAGGGGCGAGGCUAGAAUUUGAACCCGGGUCUUCGGAUGCCAAAUCCCUUCAAGCUCUUCAGCUCUACCAGACUGCCAUCUCUCUGUGGCCCAGGCAAAUGGCCCCGCUCAGGGAAGGUGGGCUCUGGAAGAGCAAAUGGACCUUUCCCUGCCCCUACCCCGGGGUCCCUCGAGAAAACGGAGGACUAAGUAGGGCAGGGUCCAUCCUCUCACCGAGCCUGGCCGCGGCUCUGGCACAGCCCCGUCGUAUCGACCCCAGCGCCGGGUGCCGUCCAGGUACUCCAUAUAGGGGCCAGAGAAGGAUGCCUGGAUGUCUGACAGAUCAUAGCGGCAGAUGGCCGAGGCCUCCAGGGUCCUCCUAGGGGGUGGGAGGAGGAGAUUCAGACUGGGCCCUCCCCUGGGCUCUCCGGCAUGUAGGACAAGAGCUUCCUGCAGACUCCGCGGCCGAUUGGCCAUUCCUGCCACUCGCUGAGCCCCGACACUCUCAGCUGACCCAGGUCAGCAUGCUUGGAAUUCUCCGCCCCCAAAAGUCCUCGCGGGCCACCCAGAAACCCAGCCCUGGGGUCAUCCUGCCUCCCAAGCCCUCUCAAAGGAAGUGCAGUAAUCUGGCCCAGUUCCUAGGCUUCCUUCAAGUUGCCUUCCCAACUACCCCUCAAUUCUGUAAUUUUAGGGUUCCCAGCCCCACUACUCCUCUAGCACUAACCAUUGAGCAGCCAGGCUAAAUGCGGCAUAGAAGCGCGUGUGGGCCCAGGCCCCCCCAUCCAGGCUGCAGACACUGCGCAGGGUCUCAUAUAGAGGGACGUGACACGCCAGCCGGGCCUUCAGGAAAGACGUCCACUUCUUCUGGAGGAUUUUCUUCCCACCCAGGUCGCCCUAGAACCAGGGGAGGGGCAGGGGGUCUGGAGAAUCCUUCCAGCCCAAAUGACCCCACAUCCUCCUCCAGUCUCAGAGGCCUAGACCUCGCUUACCUUGCACACUCGGGCGACACGGGCCACCCGGUGCCCCCUGCUCUGGGAGAAGCCGCUGCCUUCCUCUGUGGCACGUUCCGUGAAGAAAUAAUAGACUUUGUCGUCAUCUCCCACAGUGCUGGCCUCGCUUUCCCGGAUGAGGACGGAAAAUACGAACUCUGCAUCUGGAGGGGCAGAGGCCUCCUUGGACUUCCCCACCUCUAGACAUCUCUCCCAAUAAACCUAACACCCAUGA